rnacentral:tRNA from 1 species
AGCUUUAUAUUCAAAAUGAUAUAAAAUUGCAAAUUUUAAGGUGUAAUAUUUACUAAGGCUU